CUGUAUUUAAUUUAUCUAAUUUAUAAUCAGAUCUGUAAUAUGGUAUUACAAAUGAUGUAAGUUUACACGAAAAAUACUACAGAGUGGGAGGUAGGUAUCUCGGAUUAUUGAAGGUGGAUAAUCGUGCAUAUUAUGUUAAAUUAAAAUUUACCCCUCCAACCUUCCAAACUCUUUUAAUACAUCAUUUUUAAAAUUUUUAAUUAAAAUUUUGAAUUGUCAAAUUUUUAAAUUUUAAAUUUUAAAUUUCAAAUUUAGAUUUUAAAUUUUAAAUUUUAAAUAAAUUUAUAUUUAUUAUUUAAAAAUUAAAAUUUUAAAACUAAAAUUUUUAAAUUUUUAAAUUUCAAAAUUUUAUUUUAAAUUAAAAUAUUAUAUUUUAUAUUUUUGGAUUUAAAAUUUUUAAUUUUUAAUUUUGAUUUAAAUUCAAAUUUUAAAUUAUUUUAAAAUAAAAUUUAAUAAAAAAUUAUUAUUUGCUUAUUAAUGGAAUUAAUUUAAGUGUAAAUUGUAUUAAGUUAUAGUUUAGUUAAUAAUGAUAUUGAAUAUGACCAAAGGCGAUUUAGGAAUAAUUUCCAUUUUAUUGUCAAAAUUACUGAAUUUUAUAAAAUACACCAAAUAUAGUAAUUCUAUAUACACUAUAAUUCAGUAUUAUAUUACUGCAUUAAACCAAAUGCAGUAAUGCAAGAUCAGUAGUAAUCUAAUUCAAAAAUCUCAAAUGCAUGGGUACAUCGAAACCACUUGUAAUACAAAAAUGCUCUAUUUCAGUUUUUUUUAAUUGAAAAAUGAUUAAUUGUACACUCCUAUUUGGGGUAUAUAUCUUACACUCCAAAUAGAGGUGAUUAAGAUUAAAUAGAAUUUUAUUUUCAAUGAAUGAAGCAGGUAGCGUGCUACCUUUUCUCAAAAAAAAAGAUUAAAUAGAAUUUUAAGUGCGUUUUAUUCUCAUCCUGCCUUUAUUUCGUUUCACACCUUUUCCUAUUGCUUUCUCCUAAGCUCUUUCUCUCAUGCACUCUAGGAAUCCUAGCAUCCAACCUUCUCAGAGCUUUCUUUUGCUCUCGUCUCUCUUCAUCAGUAGGAGCUCGUCUCUCGUCGCUUGUAAAACGCUCCGCUACUAUGACGCCCCAACUUCCCAGGAGUUACCCAUCCUAGGACUACUCCCGUCCUAGCACGCUUAACUCUCUUAACCUUUUGUGCCUAGCCACCACCCAAAAUGCUUAAGUCGGGUUUAAAGUAUUAGCCCUAUUAUAUCAUAUAUAUAUUGGAUUACUUGGAGUCUCUCAUUCUCCCUCUCUUUAAGUCCUGACGUUAUUGUCAAGCUUAAACUCACAAGUACUAGGCGAUGUGAAACUCGUCCUAGCCUAAAUCGACCUUGUGGUAAGUUGUGCUCCAUCCACAACAGUCAAUAGUAUAAGAGCCUCGCUCUCCGCUGUAUAAUCCUAACUCAGCCGAAACUCAUCUCACACUUCCGGCUAGUAAUUGGUUCUGAUACCAACUAUGACGCCCCAACUUCUUAGGGGGCCACUCAUCUUAGGACUAUUUCCGUUCUAGCAUGCUUAACUCUUUUAACAUCUUAGGCCUAGCCACUUGUCGAGGACUUAGAAAAAUUUCUAUGUAGCCCGGUCCCUGGCCCAAAUCUGCUUAGUGAGUUCGGGUUGGAAACGGGUUGAAUCGGGUUGUCAAGGAGACCCAAACCCAACCCGCUGUGGAAAACUCAAGGGUUAUGAAACUCAUGGGAGUUAUGGGUGACUCUUGAACUUUUGGCUAUUAUGAGGGCACAUUAUGUAUGCAAUAGUAUGUGAGUUAUGUGGCUAGUAGGUGAGUUAUGAGGGCUCAUUAGGCCUAUAAAUAGUGGGGUUGGCUAAGGCCAAGAUACACAAGAGAGAUUGUGUUGUAUGCUGUAAUCUCUUUUUCUAAAUAGUGUAGUACUUAGUUUUUUUUUAGAAAACAUCUGUCUCUUUCUCUUGUUAUU
rnacentral:lncRNA from 1 species